rnacentral:rRNA from 1 species
GACGAACGCUGGCGGCGUGCUUAACACAUGCAAGUCGAACGAUGAAGCGGGUGCUUGCACUCGUGGAUUAGUGGCGAACGGGCGAGUAACACGUGAGUAACCUGUCCUUUUCUUUGGGAUAACGGCUGGAAACGGCUGCUAAUACUGGAUAUUCAGGCUGCAUCGCAUGGUGUGGUUUGGAAAGGUUUUUUCUGGGAUCGGGUGGGCUCGCGGCCUAUCAGCUUGUUGGUGGGGUGAUGGCUUACCAAGGCUUUGACGGGUAGCCGGCCUGAGAGGGUGGUCGGUCGCACUGGGACUGAGAUACGGCCCAGACUCCUACGGGAGGCAGCAGUGGGGAAUAUUGCACAAUGGACGAAAGUUUGAUGCAGCGACGCCGCGUGGAGGGUGUAGGCCUUCGGGUUGUGAACUCCUUUUUCUCGCGAAAAAGGCACAGUUUUGGCUGUGUUGAUGGUAGUGGGGGAAGAAGCGCCGGCUAACUACGUG